rnacentral:rRNA from 1 species
AGCGAACGCUGGCGGCAGGCUUAACACAUGCAAGUCGAGCGGGCAUCCUUGUGGUGUCAGCGGCAGACGGGUGAGUAACGCGUGGGAACGUGCCCUUCGGUUCGGAAUAACUCAGGGAAACUUGAGCUAAUACCGGAUACGUGCGAGAGCAGAAAGGUUUAUCUGCCGAAGGAUCGGCCCGCGUCUGAUUAGCUAGUUGGUGAGGUUACGGCUCACCAAGGCGACGAUCAGUAGCUGGUCUGAGAGGAUGAUCAGCCACACUGGGACUGAGACACGGCCCAGACUCCUACGGGAGGCAGCAGUGGGGAAUAUUGGACAGUGGGGGCAACCCUGAUCCAGCCAUGCCGCGUGAGUGAUGACGGCCUUAGGGUUGUAAAGCUCUUUUCUCCGGGACGAUAAUGACGGUACCGGAGGAAUAAGCCCCGGCUAACUUCGU